GAGGGUAUAGCUCAGUGGUAGAGUGUGUGUUUAACAUGCAAAAAGACCUGGGUUCAAUCCCUAGUACCUCCA
rnacentral:tRNA from 1 species